UGCUCACUUCAGCAGCAAUUUACUAAAAGUGGAAUUAUGCAAAGAAGAUAAGCACGGUGCCUGCGCUAAAACGACAUGCAAAUUUGUAAAAGCACUCCAUAUUUAA